GCCAAGACAAGAGACAUUCAUAAUCUCCAGAGUGAGACCAGACGAUUUUGACAUUUAAACAGGAAGUUAAGGCAACAGGCCCAUUAGCUUGGCUUAGCUUAGCUUAGCAUAAAGACUGGAAACAGGAGACCAAAUUGUACCUUUAGUAACUCCGGUUCCCAUGAGUCCAGCGUGAGCGAGCGAACCUUCGAACAGUGAACUCCCAGACUCCUGCAACAAAAACAACAGAUUCUAAGCAACAGAUGGCGGCCAACACGAGGACACCAGAGCAGUUCAUGUUCUUUUAAUAGAUGCCGUUGCGCGGUGACCUCGUCUGAAUAGCUGCAACCGAUCUAAAAAAUCAGGAGUGUUAUCCAGAAGAGGAACGAGAGGAGCCGCUCCUAAUGUCAUGCAAAAUAGCCAAGUUCCACGGAUGAAGCUGUCUGGUAUCCAGGCAACAGUGAUACUGUGUUUCUCCCCUCCGUCGCCCUGCAUUGUAUCAACAAGAGGCCACGACUGAUCUCACUGCCCCCCAAAAGAGAGCAUGAAUAUUCAGCGGGUACAGACACACACACAGAGGAUGAGAUGAAUCCACAACGACACAAAAUGUCUCUCUACCUGUGGAUGCCGGAGCACUCGAUGCACAGCAGGAUGCCCAGGUUGAUGGAGGCCCAGCGAGGGUCGGCCUGGCCGCAGUCGCAGCACUGCUCGUUGCCCGGC